rnacentral:misc_RNA from 1 species
UUUCCGUAGGUGAACCUGCGGAAGGAUCAUUAAAAAAUAUCACAUUUUGUAUGUGAUUUAAUAAUCAUCCUACCCUUUGUGAAUUUGUUUUUGUUUGAAAUUUAUGUUGUCUAUCCCUGGAUAUGAAAGAAAAGUCAUUAAGAUUUUUUUUUCAUUCUAGGGAAUAGGCUUUCAUAGACAUUUUUUUAAAUUAAACAUUUGUAUUCAUUUGUCUAAAUUUAUUUUUAAAUAAUUUAAAAACAACUUUUGACAAUGGAUCUCUUGGUUCUCGCAACGAUGAAGAACGCAGCAAAAUGCGAUAAGUAAUGUGAAUUGCAGAAUACGUGAAUCAUCAAAUUUUCGAACGCAUGUUGCACUUUUUUAGUUUACUAAAAAAGUAUGUCUGUUGAGUAUCAGUAAAUAUUCUCAUAAAAACUAUUGUUUUAUGGUUAUGAGUGUCUUACAACGAUAACAAGUUGUUUCACUUUAAAUUGAUUUUUUAAAAGCCAAUUUGGUUUUAUUUUAAAAUUGGAUAAAUUUCCCGUAAAAAGGAAUAAACUUUUCAGUUUUAAAUAAAACCUAAAUUGACCUUGAAAAAAGGAAAUUUAAUUAUAAAACUAACUUGAUCUCAAAUCAGAUAAGAGUACCCGCUGAACUUAAGCAUAUCAAUAAGCGGAGGAAAAGAAACUAACAAGGAUUCCCUUAGUAACGGCGAGUGAAGCGGGAAGAGCUCAAAUUUGAAAUCUUCAAGGUUUUACCUUGACGAAUUGUAGUUUAAAGAAGUGUUUCUGUGUGGAGUGGCAAAAGUUCUUUGGAAUAGGACAUCAUAGAGGGUGAGAAUCCCGUAUUUGGAUCAUAUCCUCCUAGCUUUGUGAUACACUUUCAAAGAGUCGGAUUGUUUGGGAAUGCAGUCAAAAAUGGGUGGUAAAUUUCAUCUAAAGCUAAAUAUUGGCGAGAGACCGAUAGCGAACAAGUACCGUGAGGGAAAGAUGAAAAGAACUUUGAAAAGAGAGUUAACAGUACGUGAAAUUGUCAAAAGGAAGCGUUUGACACCAGUGUUGUUUUCCGAAAAUCAAUUAUAAAUGUUUUGUUUCUGAGGAGUGAUGACUUCAUCGGCUUCCUUCUCUCUUCACGAAACUUUGUAAUGCACUUUUCGGUUAACAAGUCAACAUCAAUUUCUUUUGUUGUAAAGAGUAUUCGGAAGGUGGCUUUCUUUUCGGAGAAAGUGUUUAUAGCCCUAUACUUCUACAAUCGGAGAGAUUGAGGUCUGCAGCGUAGAUCCUUCGGGGUUAGAUACAUUUGUGCUAAGUUAUAGCUUUUCAUAGACAACUUGUUGACUAUGUUUAGUCUGUAGCUUACUCGCUUAUGCUAUUUUACCUACGCUUAGGAUGUUG